UCCUUCUUGGGCCUACCACGCCCCGAGGUCACGUCCUCCAGGGUCUAGAUACAGACACUGGAUUUCAUUUGUCUCAGACAAGGUCAUCAAGGUCAAUGCCUUGGUUAAACAGAGGUGGAGACAGCCUAGGGAGCACCCCUCUAGGGAGCACUCCUUAGGGAGCACCACUCUAGGGAGCACCCCUCCCUGGGCAGUUUUGUAGCAGAAUUGUCUGCAGCUCCAGCACUGCUCCCGGUUCCUCCAGUGCCUGCCUCCUGAGCACACGUGGCUUUCCUGGAGUCCAGCUCCUCUGUUGUGGGCAGCUGCUCCUGUCCUAGGCCCCUGCAGUGCACCAGCAGCCACCGACUUCCCCCUGACGCCCCCCUUGGAUGGUUUUGUAGUGGAGAACCUCCGGGGAGACACCUCCCUGUGCGCAGCCAUCCCCAGCACCCUAAAGAGCAGAUUUCCAGAAACAUCUACCACCUCACUACUGAGGUCUGGAUGUCAGCCCUGGGACCAGAGGGCGUCUUCCCUGGGUGUUCUAUCUCAUCUUUAGGGGCCAAUCCCUCAUUUCUUCAAUCCCCUAUUAUAGUUAAUAAUUCCUUGUACUAAAGUUUCCCUGUUUUAAUCACCAUAUGGUUUCCUUCUCCUGGUUGGGCCCAGACUUAUGCAUCAUGCAUAUAUGUAUGUGUGCGUGUUUGUGUACACACACAUGCACAUGUACACACACAUGUAAAGUGGCACAGGAGGGGGGUUCUUUCUCACUUCUAAUUUAAACAUUCUUAUAAUGGCUUAGGUUUUUUUUAAACAGUCACGUGUCCCCUUCGCAAUUUUAAGGGUAAUUAGGUUGUGAGGCGCAGUGGUUGAGAAUACAGGCUCUGGAGCUGGGUGGAAUGUGGUCAAUCCCAGCUCUGCCACGUACUCCCUGUGGGAUCAGGAACAAGUCACUUAACCUCUUGGUGUCACAGUUCCUUCAUCUGCAAAAUGGAGGUAAUAAUACUCCCCAUUUCCUCUGGGUGUUCUUUAUGCGUGCAAAGCCCUCAAAAAAAUAUUAGCUGCUGUGACAUGUUUUAAUGCAAAUUGGGCGUGAGAGGGAGGAGGAAGACGAACCAGAGAGAGAAGAAGGAAGGACGUGCUGGCGGGAAAGGUUGCGAGGAGCAGGGAGGUGCCAACAGUUGAAGGCGGGGGAUGGGAAUCACGAGUAAUGGGUCCUGGGAUAAGAGGAGAGCAAGAAAGGGAGGCCUCCGUGGGCCGGGGCGAUUAGGAAAGGCAGCACGAGGGGAGGCAACAUUUCAGAUGGGCCUCAGGAAGGAGUGGAGAGAAUGGGAGAGAGCUCACUGGGGUAGGGAGAAAGAUACGAGCAGGACUCAGAGAGAGGUAGCGAUACGGCGUGGCUGAGGCUUGAGCUCUGUGACUGAACAGUCAUCGGUAAUCCCUAUAGCCCCAACUCUAACAUGGGUAUAGCAACAUAGUGCAGCCGUGUGCCGCAUAACAUUCUGAUCAACGAUGGACCACAUGCGCAAUGGUGGUCCCAUACGAUGAGUGCCACAGAGCCUGGGUGAGCAGCGGGCCGUGCCAUCUCUGUUCGUGUAAGUGCGCUCUGUGACGUUCACACAGCAAUGAAAUCACCCAAUGACACAUUUCCCGGAACAUCUUUUUGUUGUGAAGCGACACACGGCUGUAGCAUUCGAUUUUUGUGAAUUUGAAAUAGUACGAUAGACCAAAUAUUAACGAAGCUUGCUUGGUGCACCCAAGUUGAAACAAUUCGGAACCCCUUCCCCCUAAAUUUUAAAUGCAUCGGGAAUCAUCAAAUUUCCAAAACGACUCAGAAUGUGCGGCUGAGGAUUUUCAUUGAUUUGAUGACCCCUGCUCCAUGCAUGUCUUUGAGAUAUAGAAACAUUUGCCAGUUUGGGUCAGGCUUGGUGGUGAAUUCUAUAAAAUUAAAAUUAGGCCAAAUCUUUAGGAGCAAGCCCUAGAUACAAAAGGUGUGCCAUCCUAUCUCUGCUCCAUGGUCCAGUGUCCAGGGCUGAGUUCUCCAUGAAGG
ensembl:lncRNA